ACUUCUUACUAGAAACGUGAUGCAUUCAAAAGCUCACGGCAUUAACUCAGGGCUUCAGAUAAACUGAGUGCAACUUCUCCCAGGCCUCUGUCACAUAGGAAGAACUAAUGAAGUUGGAGCAUUUCUCAAAUUUUUCUACUUAAAUAACAGUUCAUUUACUCAAACUUCUGGAAGAAUCAAAUGAUGCAGUUUAACAAGAAUGAGCUUCUAUUAAAUCAGUACUGAAAACUUCUAAAUGUGGAACCUAACAGGACUAGUUUGGAUUAAGGAAACCUGCUUUCAGAAUUUUUCUUUGUAAUGCACGAAAGUGCAGCAGUUUUCUAUUCUGGGGAAUAGAAAAGAAUCCCACACAUCAGAAGAUGAACAGAAGCCACAAUGGUGUAUUUCCACACAUUGACCUUUUCCAGAUACAAUUUCACUUCUGUUGAUGGUACAGCAAGCCUAAACACAUUCCACAAUGAUCCUCUGGCUUGCUUCUUUUAGCUGAAACUUACUCCCAAACUUGCUGUCAGUUUUCCUGCAGGUUAGGAGAAUCAGUCUUUAGAGAUUGCCUGGUCUCCUAUGACUUGAAAAGUGGGACUCCCUGUUUUUUGCCAUUGAGUAUCAGUCUCUGCCAUGGCAGUGGAAGAGGAAGCUGCUGACUGACAGAUGGCCCAAUCCCUGCUUUUUUAAGCAAGAAGAUCAGUGUUCUCUCCAAAUUAUCAACGUGCUGGUAGCUGUUUUCUACUAAGCAAAAUGUGAAAAAAUCGAGUCCGAAAAAAACCUCCUAUGACUUGUAAACUUUUCUAAUUCAACUCCUAAACUUGUAGCCUGAGGAAGCUAAUGUUUACUUUUUAAAAAACUGUUUAAUUUUUCACCUUCUUGUAAGUUAUCUAUAGUUUUAAUUUCAGCUUUCUAUGGUAAGUGUUGUGGGUGACCUCUGCUGGUUGACUAAAUAAAGUAAGCCCUGUACAUUCUCCAAGUCUUUCAAACAGGAAAAACAAUCCACUAACACUGGAAACAGUGUAAAUGCCUUUGUUUGUUAUGAGGAAGUAAAUUAUCUGCUAAGAAUCAUGACGUAUAUCAUCUAUGAAGUACAGUUUAAGAAAAUAAAGGAUUACUUGCAUGUUGAUAA